CCUACGGGUGGCAGCAGUGAGGAAUAUUGGUCAAUGGGCGCGAGCCUGAACCAGCCAAGUAGCGUGAAGGAUGACGGCCCUACGGGUUGUAAACUUCUUUUAUAAAGGAAUAAAGUGAGGCACGUGUGCCUUCUUGAGUGUACUCUAUGAAUAAGGAUCGGCUAACUCCGUGCCAGCAGCCGCGGUAAUACGGAGGAUCCGAGCGUUAUCCGGAUUUAUUGGGUUUAAAGGGAGCGCAGGUGGGUUGUGAAGUCAGUGGUGAAAGUGUGCGGCUCAACCGUAAAAUUGCAAUUGAUACUGGGUGUCUUGAGUACAGUAGAGGUAGGCGGAAUUCGUGGUGUAGCGGUGAAAUGCAUAGAUAUCACGAAGAACUCCGAUUGCGAAGGCAGCUUACUAGACUGCAACUGACACUGAUGCUCGAAAGUGUGGGUAUCAAACAGGAUUAGAUACCCCAGUAGUC
rnacentral:rRNA from 1 species